CGAAAUUCUGCAAUGUGUGAUAAAUAGAUGAGUCUAAUAGCAGACCAGAAUUCUUUUGGAACCAACUCAGUUAAACCAUGAGACUAAAAUUAGAUAAAUGGAAAGAGGACCACCAAAGAAUACAAGCCUAAUUUGAACACUUAGACCUAGAGACUUCAGAUUUACUGUGCAUAGAUAAGGAGUGCAUAGAUAGGGAGAUUUUGUAAUUUACAGAUUUUGGAUACC
rnacentral:sRNA from 1 species